AGAGUUUGAUCAUGGUUCAGGCUGCACGCUGGCGGCGUGCCUAGUACAUGCAAGUCGAGCGAACACAUAAGGAGCUUGCUCCUUUGACGUUAGCGGCGGACGGGUGAGUAACACGUGGAUAACCUACCUAUAAGACUGGGAUAACGUCGGGAAACCGGAGCUAAUACCGGAUAAGAUUUUGAAUCGCAUGGUUCAAUAGUUAAUGCUGUCCUUGCUGUCACUUAUAGAUGGAUCCGCGCCGUAAUAGCUAGUUGGUAGGUAACGGCUUACCAAGGCAACGAUACGUAGCCGACCUGAGAGCCACACUGGAACUGAGACACGGUCCAGACUGUCCAGACUCCUACGGGAGGCAGCAGUAGGGAAACUUCCGCAAUUGGCGAAAGCCUGACGGAGCAACGCCGCGUGAGUGAUGAAGGUCUUCGGCUCGUAAAACUCAGUUAUCAGGCAAGAACAAACGUGUAAGUAACUGUGCACGUCUUGACGUUACCUGAUCAGGAAGCCACUGCUAACUACGUGCCAGCAGCCGCGGUAAUACGUAGGUGGCAAGCGUUAUCCGGAAUUAUUGGGCGU
rnacentral:rRNA from 1 species